ensembl:snoRNA
ACAUUCUUGAAUAAACUGUGAUAACACUGCAGAAGCUAGUAGUUGGCCUUAGUAUUUGUAAGACAGCUCGUGGCGUAAACGCAAGAGGAAGAACAUCUGUACCAGUGGGGGAGCGAUUGAGAUGAUCCUGAAACCCAGAGCCCUUUGUUCUAAGACUCGGUACAACAAUA